CCAUGGCCCGCAAGAUCCGCAUGAAGGAGCGGGAGCGCCGGGAGAAGGAGCGGGAGGAGUGGGAGCGUCAGUACAGCCGCCAGAGCCGCAGCCCCUCCCCGCGCCACGGUCGGGAGUACAGCUCCUCCCGCAGGUACGGCCGCGAUUCCCGGGAAUUCCGGGAAUUCUGGGAUUUCUGGGAUU